CAGUAAAUAGUUUAUUUAAAAUAUUAAUUUUGGAGAUUAAUGAAAAGUUUGUGAUGCUUUUUACUGA
rnacentral:tRNA from 1 species